rnacentral:rRNA from 1 species
GAUGAACGCUGGCGGCGUGCCUAAUACAUGCAAGUCGAGCGAACGGACGAGAAGCUUGCUUUUCUGAUGUUAGCGGCGGACGGGUGAGUAACACGUGGAUAACCUACCUAUAAGACUGGGAUAACUUCGGGAAACCGGAGCUAAUACCGGAUAAUAUUUUGAACCGCAUGGUUCAAAAGUGAAAGACGGUCUUGCUGUCACUUAUAGAUGGAUCCGCGCUGCAUUAGCUAGUUGGUAAGGUAACGGCUUACCAAGGCAACGAUGCAUAGCCGACCUGAGAGGGUGAUCGGCCACCCUGGAACUGAGACACGGUCCAGACUCCUACGGGAGGCAGCAGUAGGGAAUCUUCCGCAAUGGGCGAAAGCCUGACGGAGCAACGCCGCGUGAGUGAUGAAGGUCUUCGGAUCGUAAAACUCUGUUAUUAGGGAAGAACAUAUGUGUAAGUAACUGUGCUCAUCUUGACGGUACCUAAUCAGAAAGCCACGGCUAACUACGUG